rnacentral:rRNA from 1 species
GAUGAACGCUGGCGGCGUGCCUAAUACAUGCAAGUCGAGCGAACAGACGAUGCGCUUGCUCCUCUGACGUUAGCGGCGGACGGGUGAGUCACACGUGUAUCACCUCCCUAUAAUACUGGUAUCACUUCGGGAAACCGGCUCUUAUCCCGGAUAAUAUAUUGCACCGCAGUGUUCAAUGGUGAAAGACGGUUUUUCUGUCACUUCUCGCUGGUUCCGGGCCGUUUUAGAUGGUUGUGAGGGUACUGGCUUACCAAGGGGAGCAUGCGUAGCCGAACGGAUAGGGGGAUAGGCCACACGGGAGGGGAGACGCGGACCAGACGCCUACGGGAGGCAGCAGUAGGGAAUCGUACGCAAUGGGCGAAAGCCUGACGGAGCGACGCCGCGUGAGUGAUGAAGGUCUUCGGAUCGUAAAGCUCGGUUAUUAGGGAAGAACAAAUGUGUAAGUAACUAUGCAGGUCUUGACGGUACCGGAUCAGAAAGCAACGGCUAACUACGUG